UACGGGGGGGGCUAGCGUUGUUCGGAAUUACUGGGCGAAAGGGCGCGUAGGCGGCCUACUAAGUCGGACGUGAAAGCCCACGGCGUCAACCCGUGGAAGGUCAUUGGAAACUGGAGGACUUGAGUACAGAAGAGGAAAGGCGGAAUUCCACGUGUAGCGGAUGAAAUGCGUAGAGAUGUGGAGGAACACCAGUGGCGAAGGCGGCUU
rnacentral:rRNA from 1 species